rnacentral:rRNA from 1 species
AGAGUUUGAUCAUGGCUCAGGACGAACGCUGGCGGCGUGCUUAACACAUGCAAGUCGAACGGAAAGGCCCUUCGGGGUACUCGAGUGGCGAACGGGUGAGUAACACGUGGGUGAUCUGCCCUGCACUCUGGGAUAAGCCUGGGAAACUGGGUCUAAUACCGGAUAGGACCACACACUUCAUGGUGAGUGGUGCAAAGCUUUUGCGGUGUGGGAUGAGCCCGCGGCCUAUCAGCUUGUUGGUGGGGUAAUGGCCCACCAAGGCGACGACGGGUAGCCGGCCUGAGAGGGUGACCGGCCACACUGGGACUGAGAUACGGCCCAGACUCCUACGGGAGGCAGCAGUGGGGAAUAUUGCACAAUGGGCGCAAGCCUGAUGCAGCGACGCCGCGUGAGGGAUGACGGCCUUCGGGUUGUAAACCUCUUUCAGUAGGGACGAAGCGAAAGUGACGGUACCUACAGAAGAAGGACCGGCCAACUACGUGCCAGCAGCCGCGGUAAUACGUAGGGUCCGAGCGUUGUCCGGAAUUACUGGGCGUAAAGAGCUCGUAGGUGGUUUGUCGCGUUGUUCGUGAAAACUCACAGCUUAACUGUGGGCGUGCGGGCGAUACGGGCAGACUAGAGUACUGCAGGGGAGACUGGAAUUCCUGGUGUAGCGGUGGAAUGCGCAGAUAUCAGGAGGAACACCGGUGGCGAAGGCGGGUCUCUGGGCAGUAACUGACGCUGAGGAGCGAAAGCGUGGGUAGCGAACAGGAUUAGAUACCCCGGUAGUCCAA